rnacentral:rRNA from 1 species
AUGCACAACCAUAUGUUGCGACAAAAUGGAGGAAUGAAUUCAGAUGCCGGGCACAACUCAACCGCUGCAAUGUAUGAUGAUGAUCAAGAGGACGAUGAGAUUUCAUCUCAGCCGCUUAUGCCCUAUGUUGGCAUGGAAUUUGACUCUAUUGAUGAUGCCAGAGAAUUUUACAAUGAAUAUGCCUUCAAGAUGGGCUUUGGCGCACGCAUUUGCGCUUCUAAAAAAGCCAAAAGAAAGGUCCUCCGACACUUAUCAAGAAGGUUUUCCAGUGUGUGCACGCAGGGAAGCCAGAAAGUAAAGGGGACAGUAGCACUGCUUUUGAAGUGA